rnacentral:rRNA from 1 species
AGCUCAGCAUGGAAAUCGGUCUCUGUGGCNUUGAAUUGUAGUCUCGAGAUGUACUGCCAACGGAGGCGCAGAUGUAAGCCUCUUGGAAAAGAGCAUCAACGAGGGUGAGAGUCCCGUUUGUCAUCUGCAGUCCCCGUGCACGGCGUUCUUCUCAAGAGUCACGUUCCUCGGAAAUGGAGCGCAAAGUGGGUGGNAAAUUUCAUCUAAAGCUAAAUAUANGUUCGAGACCGAUAGCAAACAAGUACC